CCGCCAUCUUGAACAGCGGUGCGCGCUCAUCCCCGGGGCCCCGGCGGGUCUUAAGCGCCCCUGAAGCGCUGAGUUCCAGGUUUCGGCACCGGACCCGCCCUGAGCGAGAGAAACCAGACUAAGCACAGAGGAAAAGAAAAAAGGUCCCAGGUGAAGCCUAUGCUGCCGGUCCACAGACCGCCCUUGGAAGGGCAAGGUCGUAAAGGAGUCCUGCAGAUAAAGAAGAGGGAAGAAAUGACCGCAUCCUAAGUCUGGCAGGGGGUCCGAGCCGGCCCUGCGCGGAAGAGGCACUCCGUGAGCAAGAAAAGUGUCUUAGUGGGGCCGGGCUUGCUGCUGUCAGUAGGGGCCUCGAGGGGAACAGGGACCUGACCUGCUGCCCCAGGGACACGAGGUCCAUGCAGCUGCCGUACACCCCCGCACCUGGAACCCCUCCACCACUGCUGAGUUCUAGCAGGUGCCUGACUUUGCCAUCAACCCCCUGCCGACCUUUUAGAGACGGAUUUUGCUACAUCUUCCAGUGGACAGGCCAGUGUGGCGCUUGUUGCUGCUGAGUUGGAAAUUCAUUGGGAACCAUCCUCUUUCUCAUUCUCAUGCCUGCGUCAGUAAUAACAUCAUGUGGUAAAGAAUAUGAGCUUCCAGGGAUUUCAUCAAAGCUCUUGAAGUAUGUCAGGGCCACAAAUUGGAAUAUGAAGAAAAAUUAGAAAAUGGACUUUCAGCAUCACAAAGAAUGCUUCGGUAUGCAAGAACCUCUUGUGUUUGUCCCACCCAAGAGAGCAUGCAUUUGACAAGGAGGUUGAAGCUGACCCUAGUUCUUCUCAGAGCACUCAUAGUUCCCGAGCAGUAAACGAUGGCCAACGGAGGGAGCACAGACCCAGGGAUCUGGAGACCCAGGUUCUAGCCCAGGCUCUGCCCCUCACUGUCUCUGGGACCCUGAGCAGGUGGCACCACUGUGCCCUCUGUAAUGGAUGAUUGCUUUAGAAUCCAAAUAUGAAGGCCACACACCCUACCAGGCAACGAAGGGUGACCCAAGGAAGGAAGGAGACGUGCAUCUGCUCUCAAGGAGCUUGUGACCUUGAGCAGGGGUGUAAACAGCUCCCCAGCCAGAGUCCACGGGCCCAGUUCUCCAUCGCCUCCCAGCCAACAAGUCCUGAUCUCACGCGUCCCCCUGCUGCCACCCCAGGUGUUUCUGAGGCUCAGAAGAGUGCGUCCAUCCCGCGAAGCUGACGGAAUGAGUUUGUCACCGCGGCUGGGUGCGUCCGCUCCUUCAUACCACUCUCCUUGUCUGCUCCUCUCCACCCCAGUGUGGACACAGCCUCCUCCCUUAUGUCUACACGGCCACGGAGGCUUGAGGGUGACACCAGAGCCGCGGUGUAAAGGAAGACAAAAUCUAAACAGAUCCGGAAAUCACAUCUCCCGGAGUCACGGGGGCCCCGUUUUGGCCUUCUCCUUGGGUGUCCAUCCCAGACGGCCAUGCUGGGCAGGGCCCGCCCGCUCCUCCGGGGUGAGGGGAUGGCUUUCAUCGUCUUCCUCUGACCUGAGUCGGUUUGAGGCCACGUGCUUCCUGUCGGCCAGAGAAGGACAGGACUGACUCCCCACCCACGACUGCGUCCCCUGAGGAGGUGCCGCUCCUGCCUGGCCGAGACAUCCUGGAGCAUCAGUGCAGGGUAUUUGAUCGAGUGGCGGCCUCACGCUCUUCAUCCCAGGCUUGGGGCUCCACGUUGCGUGACCCCAAGGACACCACAAUGUCCUCCUCGCCCCCAAACCGACGGAUGCACAGUCUUUUCGCAGGGACCAGGUGGGCCUCCACCUCUCGCUAAGGAGGAACCUUUCGAGUUGCAGUUUCCCUCGUUUUUAGCCAUCAAGGUUUCAGAAAAAUAAACAUCAGUGUGGUUUCAGUCCCAGAGCACCCAGUUAGCAAACCAUAAGACACGGGGUGCCACCAAGAAUGUCUCGGGUCACAUUCCCUGGAGACAGACUCUGAGAGGGAGAGCUGCCUUCAGAGGUGUCCUGAGGAGGGGAAGGGGGCCCCCAGCAGCUCCGAAGCCUGAGGGGCCCGCGUCGAGGGACAUGGGCUGACCUUGGUCUCCCGGCUUCAGCCUGUGCCUGGCUGCAGGCUUCCCCGAGGCACGGAACUGAGUGAGUCUGCUCUGUGGCCACAGGCACUUGGCAGUGAGGACCGCAGCUGAGGGCAGCUGGGGGACGAAUGCUUUUGUCCUAAAGAGGGGAGCUGGGCAGGAAACGCUAGUGCCCACUGCCAGGAGGCCCUAAGGAAGGGCUGAGGGUUACAGAAGAAGGAGAAACCCAUCCCAGGAAGGCUUCCUGGAGGAGCACAGAAGCAGCCGCUGGAGGACUGGUAGGUUUUGGAGGAAGGACCACUUCCCAAACAGCAUGGGAGCAGGAUGCGUGCCUGCCGGGCAGCCUGCAGUGGUUGUGAAGAUUGCCUUCUGUUCGGUCCUUCCGUCUCUGGAAGGCAGGAGGCUCGGGCUGGGCGAGCACCCGGACGCCUGCAGCUCUAACAGGGUUUGACCCCGUGAUCUCCCACCCGUCAGAAAAAUGCACGGGGAAAUAAAAAUAAUGGCGAGGUUAA